rnacentral:sRNA from 1 species
CAGCAAGACGGUGGUCGACGAUGCUCAAAAUCCAUCAUAUGGGUCUGCGUUUGAUGACCCAAGC